GACGAACGCUGGUGGCGUGCCUAAUACAUGCAAGUAGAACGCUGAAGGAGGAGCUUGCUCUUCUGGAUGAGUUGCGAACGGGUGAGUAACGCGUAGGUAACCUGCCUGGUAGCGGGGGAUAACUAUUGGAAACGAUAGCUAAUACCGCAUAACAGUAGAUGUUGCAUGACAUUUGCUUAAAAGGUGCAAUUGCACCACUACCAGAUGGACCUGCGUUGUAUUAGCUAGUUGGUGGGGUAACGGCUCACCAAGGCGACGAUACAUAGCCGACCUGAGAGGGGGAUCGGCCACACUGGGACGGAGACACGGCCCAGACUCCUACGGGAGGCAGCAGGAGGGAAUCUUCGGCAAUGGACGGAAGUCUGACCGAGCAACGCCGCGUGAGUGAAGAAGGUUUUCGGAUCGUAAAGCUCUGUUGUAAGAGAAGAACGAGUGUGAGAGUGGAAAGUUCACACUGUGACGGUAUCUUACCAGAAAGGGACGGCUAACUACGUG
rnacentral:rRNA from 1 species